rnacentral:rRNA from 1 species
AGAAUCAACGCUGGCGGCGUGCCUAACACAUGCAAGUCGAACGAGAAAGUGGAGCAAUCCAUGAGUAAAGUGGCGCACGGGUGAGUAACACGUGACUACCUACCCUCGAGUGGGGAAUAACCUCGGGAAACCGGGGCUAACACCGCAUAAUAUCUACGGAUCAAAUGCGAAAGCAGCUUGAGGAGGGGUCGCGGCCGAUUAGCUAGUUGGUGAGGUAAUGGCUCACCAAGGCAAUGAUCGGUAGCCGGCCUGAGAGGGCGCGACGGACCGACACUGGAACUGAAACACGGUCCAGACUCCUACGGGAGGCAGCAGUGGGGAAUUUUGCGCAAUGGGGGAAACCCUGACGCAGCAACGCCGCGUGGAGGAUGAAGCCCCUUGGGGUGUAAACUCCUUUCGAUCGGGACGAUUAUGACGGUACCGGAAGAAGAAGCACCGGCUAACUCUGUGCCAGCAGCCGC